AGCAGCCGCGGUAAUUCCAGCUCCAAUAGCGUAUAUUAAAGUUGUUGCAGUUAAAAAGCUCGUAGUUGAAUUUCGGGGUCGGUAGGUUGGUCAUGCCACUGGUAUGUACUGGUUUCACUGAUUCCUCCUUCCUGAUGAACCGUAAUGCCAUUAAUUUGGUGUUGCAGGGAAUCUGGACUGUUACUUUGAAAAGAUUAGAGUGUUUAAAGCAGGCUAACGCCUGAAUACAUUAGCAUGGAAUAAUGAAAUAGGACGUUCGAUCCUAUUUUGUUGGUUUCUAGGAUUGACGUAAUGAUUAAUAGGGAUAGUUGGGGGCAUUAGUAUUCAAUCGUCAGAGGUGAAAUUCUUGGAUUUAUUGAAGACUAACUACUGCGAAAGCAUUUGCCAAGGAUGUUUUUCAUUAAUUCAAGAACGAAAGUUAGGGGAAUCGAAGACGAUCAGAUACCGUCGUAGUCUUAACCAUAAACUAUGCCGACUAGGGAUCGGAUGAUGUUAAUUUUUUAAUGACUCAUUCGGCGUC
rnacentral:rRNA from 1 species